GCUAGGCAUGGUGGUGCUUGCCUGUAAUCCCAGCUACUCAGGAGGCUGAGGCAGGAGAAUCACUUGAACCCGGGAGGUGGAGGUUGCAGUGAGAGCCAAGGUUGCGCCACUGCACUCCAGCCUGGGUAACAAUAGUGAAACUCUGUCUCUU
ensembl:misc_RNA Metazoa_SRP Metazoan signal recognition particle RNA